UGCGCCUGGUAUAGGUGGUAUCUCCACCCACUCUCCCUUCUUUCCAGCAUCGGUGAUGUCUUCCUCCAUUUUCACAUAUAAUCCGCCGAUACCAUCUUGUAGCAACACCGUUAACAUGCCCAUAUCAGAGUGGCGUGCCACACCAACGGUGAGAUCAGGGUUGGGGCAGAUGGGGUAGAAGUUCAUGUUCACGAUUUUUAAACCAAUGAAGCCAUCCAUUCUUGAUUCCUCUAGUGUUACUCCAAGCUUCUCCAUUAACACUUCUAGUAUUCUUCUCACCAUUGAGUUGGAUGCCUUCAGGUACUCUAGUGCUACUUCCCUGCGGAAAAUAUGAAUAAUUUUGCAUGCCAUGAAGUUUAUCAUGAACAAGGUCUAAAAAGUGCUCCAUGUAAGUGGACCACUCUACCAUCUCGCAAGUUUCUCAUUCCUUUUUUAGUAUAUUGAUAUAUAGAUCUAAUCAGCUACCAAUCUGGAGUUAGAUUUGUUUGUACAUUUCAUAAAUUACUACAAUGAAUAUUUCUAUAUAAUAUGAACCAUUUAUAUAAGAAUCUUGUUGUUGUAUGUCACUUGAAGGGUCUAGUAAUAGUUACUAAAGAAGACUCUUUAACAUGCUUAGACCCAUUUUUUCAAAUUGCGAAGGUUAGUAGGUUUAAAGUAGAUAAUAUUUAUAUGGGAUAUAAAUUAUAUCAAAAUUAAUUCUUAGCCAAAAAUAUAAUAAUUAAGCUAUAUGGAACUUAAAUAAUAUCAAAAUUAAUUCUUAGUCGAAAAUAUAGUAAUUAAGCCACACAUAAAUUCAUGGGUCAUGAUGAAGAUGCAUGAAAAGAUUACUACAAUAUUCCACAAUGCAUGGUUAGAAGUUUCUAACACUUCAAAGAAACAACCUGUUAAAUAUAGGGCUAUUUGAUUAAAAGGGUAAGUGAAAACCCAAAAUUUGAAAUUUAACCCUUUGUCAAUUUUUUAUUUUUAUUUCAUUUUGAUAAAAUUGUUUUCAUUAUUUUCUUGUAAAAAUAACAUUUUGGUUUGAAACCUACAUGUUAAUACUUGAAAUGGUAAAAGAUAUUUAUUUUUUUAUAAAAAAAAAGUUACUUUUCAAGAAAAAACAUGAGAAGGGUUAGAUUCAUAAUUUGAAGAUUAUUUUAUCCCUUUUAAUUAAAUAUUUCUAUAAUAUAUAUAGAUGACUUUUACUUUAUGUGAAAAUUUGAAAGACUCACAUAUUCAAAGUUUUAUGUAGGGAUGACAAUGGGGCGGGUUUUUUCGAGUACCUGCCCCUCCCCUAAUGGAAUGGGGUUCAAUUUUAAUAAACGAGUUUGGGAUGGGUUUGGGCUCGCAUCGAUUAUAUAUAAAAUUAAAUUUAAAUUUUAAAUUUUAAUUUAAUUUAAAUUUUAAAAUUAAUUUAAUUUAAAUUUUAUUUUACUAUUUUUAAUAUGUAGAUAGUAAAAAAAUAAUUUUAAUAAAAUAAGUUAUAAAAAAUAUAAUGAUUUAAUUAUUUAUAAAAUAUAUUUAUUUUAAUGUAAUUAAAAAAUUUAAAAGUAAUUUUAAAAAAAAAAAACUGAAAAUAAGUUAAACAGGGCGGGGCGGGCGUGUAUGGGAAUUUAUCAUAUCAGCCCCGCUCCGCCCCAUUUAAUUUUUUAAAUGGGAUGGGAAUGGGAAUUGCUUUGAAUAAACGGGGCGGGGUUGGGAUGGGGGCGACCCGUCCCAAACCCGCCCCAUUGCCAUUCCUAGUUUUAUGUCUAUUUCGUUCAAACCAUGGACUUAAUCAUGAGGCAUGAGUAGUAUACACAUCUAUCAAGUUAUCACAAAAUAACAUAUAAUAUCAUAGGAUUAGGGUCAGUUGAAAAUUCUUACUUGCAUUCAUUAGGCCAAAAUUCAAGUGCUUCGCCAUCGCUGGUAUACACCAUACUAACAUAGUCCUUCCACUCCAAUGCUUUCUCUUUCUCAGGCACAAAGCUCGUCCCAUACUUCACAUAUGGGCUAGGGCUCACGCCCUUCCGAUACACCGCCUUCUUCUCAGGCGCUUGUCCAAAGAACUCAUGCGCUGCGCUCUUAACCGACUCCAGAACUUCAAUGGGCACCCUAUGGUUCACAACUUGGAAGAAACCAACCCUCUCGGCUGCCUCAGCUAUCAAUCCCACCACUUGGCUAUGCUGAGGUCCAUCAAGCAUUGAUAGAUCUAUUGGUGGUCGAUCAUAGGAACUUGCUUUGAGCUUGUCUAUGCGCUCAUGAUGUGGCUGGAUGUAUUGCUCUGGCACCUUCUCCAGGCCAAGAUCCACCAUGCCUUUGACUCCAUUGCCAUCUCUGACCACAAAGUUGUACACUGAAUCUCCAUCAUCAAAGUUAGGUGCCAUUGUCGAAUGAAGCUUGAAAAUCUUCUAGUUUUGUUGAAUGUUGAUGAUUCAAUAACCUUAUACCAAUGAUCCCAAUUAUUAUUGUCUAGUGAUCGUUGACUUUUGUGUGGUGUCGAAGCAAGACUCAGGGCCUUGAAGCUGGAUGGAGUAAGGGAAAGUACACAUAAUGCCACUGGGGUUUGGUGGCCGUGGUGGGGUUUAGGUGAAUAGAAAAAUACAAAAAACUCAUCCUCCAGGUUACCAACCAGUCAACAAUCACAUGCCAAGGAAAUAAUCCCAUGCCAACACAAAAAUAUAUGAUCUUUACAAUAACCAAUUAUAUAAUUUCAGGAAUUAUUUUAUAAAAGUUGUAAAAUAUUUAAUAUUUUGUAAAAAUAAAAAUUUUGUGAAAGAGAAGUUACAAUUUAAUUUGUAGGAUAUAAAGUGAUAAACUUAAGACCUUAAGAAAAAUAAAUUUAAAUUUGAAAUAAACUAAUAUAGUAUACAUGGUUAAAAAUUAAAAUGGUGAUAUAAUUUAUAAAUUGAGAAUUGCAUAAUUAAUUUAUAUUAUUUUAAUUUCAAAUUAUGAGUGGAAAAAAUUAGAUGAAAUAUUGAAAGUGUGAAAAGCAAUAUAAUUGGUAUUUGAAGUGGAAAAAAAAUUGAAUCAUUUCAAUUAAUUGUAAGUAUAAUUACACUUUUAAAAAAAUGUAAAUAAAUUAAAAUAAGUAUACAUUGUUAAAAAUUAAAAUGGUUUUGUACUAAUUAUUGAUUGAAAAUUGUAUUAAUAAAUUAUUUCUUACAAUUUAAAAUUAUUUAUAAAAAAUAUUAGAUAAAAUAUUGAAAAUACCAAAAAUAAUAUAAUUAGUAUUUGAAGUGGAAAAAUGAAUUGUAUCAUUUCCAUAAAUUUUAGUUGUAUAAAUUGCAUCAUUUUGAUAAAUUUUAAUUGUAUAAUAGUCUUUUUAAAGAAUGAAAGUGAAUUUUUGUUUUUCAAAUUCAAAGAAUUAGAUAUUUGAGAGGGUAAGAAAAAUGUGAGGAAUACACAAAUUAUUUGGAUCAUUUUUAUUUUUUUAGUAUUUUUUAUCAUUGAAUUUUUUAGGCAUGAAUUCCGCAACCCCUAAGUGUAAUUAACCUAUUUAAACAAUAUCUAACUCAUAUGAGAUUCAAAUUAAAUAAAAAAUAAAAAUUCAAAGAAGUGGAAAUUUGGGAGGGUACGAAGAAUAUGGAGAUUCCUCACAUUCUUGCUAAUUUGUUAGUAUUUUUGGAUUUUGAUUUUUUUUUUGGCAUGAACUCCUAUUUAAGCAAUAUACAAACAAUAUGAGAUCCAAAUUAAAAAAAAAAAAAAUCAAAAAAAUGGAGAUUUAGAAGGGUACGAAUAAUGUGAGGAUUCCUCACAUUCUUUGUACCCUUACUAAUUUUUUUUAGUAUUUGUGGAUUUCAAAUUUUUUGGGCAUCAAUUCUACACCCCUUAGGUGUAAUUAACUUACUUAAACAAUAUCCAACCCAUGUGAGGUCUAAAACAAAAAAAAACAAAAAAAAAAAAAGAGUGGAGAUUUGAGAGGGUAUGAAGAAUGUGAUGACUAAUUUUUAAGUAUUUUAUGAUUUCAAUAUUUUUGGACAUCAUUUCCACACCCUAAUUGGAGCCAAAAUAUGUGCUCUAAUGACACAUAUUCGAUAUGAUUUAUGCAUCAAAGGACAUUCAAAUCACUCACCUUGACCUAAAUCGAUGCUAAGGCCCUAGUCAUGAGUUUAACUUAUAUUUUGAAUAUUUAUCUCAGGUUCAAGGGAAGAAAACGGUGCAAGUUGAGUGGCUUUAGAUUUUGAAAGAUCAAGAAAUGGUUAAAUGAGGAAAUAAGUAAGCCAAGAUUCAUGGACCAUGAGGAAAGGCAAGAAGAGGAUAUCAUGAGUUUGGAAGAUGAGAAAUGACCAUUAUGGAGCAAGAAAGAAGGCAAGAAAACAUAAGAAAUGAGACAUGAAGCAAGAUUUAGUUGCAUGGAAAUUUAUAACUCAAAAUCUGAUGACAACAUAUACUCUGAAUUUGAGAACAAAGUUGGAGCACUUUCCAAAGUCCAUUUUAUACAUACUAUAUAUCAUUUCGAAGAUCGGGAAGUCAGAAGUGUAACGCUUCAAAUGCUGUGUAAAUCAAAGUUGAAAUGAAGAAGUUAUGAUCAUUUGAAGACAACUGUGCAAAUCUAAAGAGCCAUUUCCAAAUGAUUUCGAAAUUCAACUUAUGAAUUCGAAAUGAUUUCAAAAUUCAACUUAUGAAUUUGAAAUCCAAUUCAAAAUGACCCCAAUUUCAAAUUCACCUACUGUCACUUUGAUGUUUCGCCUCAUUUACCUCGGGAAUUGCAUCUAGGACAUUCUAUCCGCCCUAAGUGGACACAACACGACUAGAAAUCACCAUUUUAUUAUUAUUUUAAUCAUUUUUAGGUAAUUAUUUUGUAAUAAGUGGCCAAUGAGAGUGUGCCACAUAUUAGGUAAUUGGUAAUAUUAUAUAAAUAUUAUAUUAGGAAUCUUUUUCCGGAGAGUUUGACAUUGAAGGUGAAAGAAGACGAGAACUUUGGUUUGUUUUCUUUUUCUUCUUUAUUAAAUAUAUUGUUUUUAGUUUCUUUUUAUUCAAAUUAUUAAUUUUUACCCUAUUAUAGAUUGUAAAUGUGACAUCACCUCCAUGAGAGGCUAAAAAUUUUGGGCUUUGUGGAGCCUAGUUUUGUUUGAUCCGGUUUGACGACCCGACCCGAAUAAUAUUGCAUGGCCUUUUUAAUGGGAGAUUUAUUGAGGCCUGUUGAGCCCGUUUAGCCCAUUGUGGAACCACCUUUUGUAAUUAGGGUUUUUUAGUAUGGUAGGGUUGCCGUGCUAUAUAUAUAUAGAGAAUAUUGUAGCCGCCAAGUAGUACUCUGUAUUCUUCCCUGAUAAUAGUGAUAUCCCUGCAACUCCGUGGACGUAGGCAAAUUGCCGAACCACAUAAAUACUGUCUUGUGCGUGUGAUUGUUUUUCUUUGGCGUGUGUUUUUUCUCUAAUUUUUGUUUCUCACGGGUUGGGAAUUCGGUUUAAUUCCCUACAACUGGUAUCAAAGCCUAGGGUUAGGUUUGAGUGGGAGCAAUGGCAGAGGAAGCAGGAAAGGCGUCUGGAAUAGAAAAGUUUGAUGGCACAGACUUUGCGUAUUGGAGGAUGCAGACNNNNNNNNNNNNNNNNNNNNNNNNNNNNNNNNNNNNNNNNNNNNNNNNNNNNNNNNNNNNNNNNNNNNNNNNNNNNNNNNNNNNNNNNNNNNNNNNNNNNGGAAAGUACACAUAAUGCCACUGGGGUUUGGUGGCCGUGGUGGGGUUUAGGUGAAUAGAAAAAUACAAAAAACUCAUCCUCCAGGUUACCAACCAGUCAACAAUCACAUGCCAAGGAAAUAAUCCCAUGCCAACACAAAAAUAUAUGAUCUUUACAAUAACCAAUUAUAUAAUUUCAGGAAUUAUUUUAUAAAAGUUGUAAAAUAUUUAAUAUUUUGUAAAAAUAAAAAUUUUGUGAAAGAGAAGUUACAAUUUAAUUUGUAGGAUAUAAAGUGAUAAACUUAAGACCUUAAGAAAAAUAAAUUUAAAUUUGAAAUAAACUAAUAUAGUAUACAUGGUUAAAAAUUAAAAUGGUGAUAUAAUUUAUAAAUUGAGAAUUGCAUAAUUAAUUUAUAUUAUUUUAAUUUCAAAUUAUGAGUGGAAAAAAUUAGAUGAAAUAUUGAAAGUGUGAAAAGCAAUAUAAUUGGUAUUUGAAGUGGAAAAAAAAUUGAAUCAUUUCAAUUAAUUGUAAGUAUAAUUACACUUUAAAAAAAUGUAAAUAAAUUAAAAUAAGUAUACAUUGUUAAAAAUUAAAAUGGUUUUGUACUAAUUAUUGAUUGAAAAUUGUAUUAAUAAAUUAUUUCUUACAAUUUAAAAUUAUUUAUAAAAAAUAUUAGAUAAAAUAUUGAAAAUACCAAAAAUAAUAUAAUUAGUAUUUGAAGUGCAAAAAUGAAUUGUAUCAUUUCCAUAAAUUUUAGUUGUAUAAAUUGCAUCAUUUUGAUAAAUUUUAAUUGUAUAAUAGUCUUUUUAAAGAAUGAAAGUGAAUUUUUGUUUUUCAAAUUCAAAGAAUUAGAUAUUUGAGAGGGUAAGAAAAAUGUGAGGAAGACACAAAUUAUUUGGAUCAUUUCUAUUUUUUUAGUAUUUUUUAUCAUUGAAUUUUUUAGGCAUGAAUUCCGUAACCCCUAAGUGUAAUUAACCUAUUUAAACAAUAUCUAACUCAUAUGAGAUUCAAAUUAAAUAAAAAAUAAAAAUUCAAAGAAGUGGAAAUUUGGGAGGGUACGAAGAAUAUGGAGAUUCCUCACAUUCUUGCUAAUUUGUUAGUAUUUUUGGAUUUUGAUUUUUUUUUUUGGCAUGAACUCCUAUUUAAGCAAUAUACAAACAAUAUGAGAUCCAAAUUUUAAAAAAAUAAAAAAAUAAAAAAAAUGGAGAUUUAGAAGGGUACGAAUAAUGUGAGGAUUCCUCACAUUCUUUGUACCCUUACUAAUUUUUUUUAGUAUUUGUGGAUUUCAAAUUUUUUGGGCAUCAAUUCUACACCCCUUAGGUGUAAUUAACUUACUUAAACAAUAUCCAACCCAUGUGAGGUCUAAAACAAAAAAAAAACAAAACAAAAAAAGAGUGGAGAUUUGGGAGGGUAUGAAGAAUGUGAUGACUAAUUUUUAAGUAUUUUAUGAUUUCAAUAUUUUUGGACAUCAUUUCCACACCCUAAUUGGAGCCAAAAUAUGUGCUCUAAUGACACAUAUUCGAUAUGAUUUAUGCAUCAAAGGACAUUCAAAUCACCCACCUUGACCUAAAUCGAUGCUAAGGCCCUAGUCAUGAGUUUAACUUAUAUUUUGAAUAUUUAUCUCAGGUUCAAGGGAAGAAAACGGUGCAAGUUGAGUGGCUUUAGAUUUUGAAAGAUCAAGAAAUGGUUAAAUGAGGAAAUAAGUAAGCCAAGACUCAUGGACCAUGAGGAAAGGCAAGAAGAGGAUAUCAUGAGUUUGGAAGAUGAGAAAUGACCAUUAUGGAGCAAGAAAGAAGGCAAGAAAACAUAAGAAAUGAGACAUGAAGCAAUAUUUAGUUGCAUGGAAAUUUAUAACUCAAAAUCUGAUGACAACAUAUACUCUGAAUUUGAGAACAAAGUUGGAGCACUUUCCAAAGUCCAUUUUAUACAUACUAUAUAUCAUUUCGAAGAUCGGGAAGUCAGAAGUGUAACGCUUCAAACGAUGUGUAAAUCAAAGUUGAAAUGAAGAAGUUAUGAUCAUUUGAAGACAACUAUGCAAAUCUAAAGAGCCAUUUCCAAAUGAUUUCGAAAUUCAACUUAUGAAUUCGAAAUGAUUUCAAAAUUCAACUUAUGAAUUUGAAAUCCAAUUCAAAAUGACCCCAAUUUCAAAUUCACCUACUGUCACUUUGAUGUUUCGCCUCCUUUACCUCGGGAAUUGCAUCUAGGACAUUCUAUCCGCCCUAAGUGGACACAACACGACUAGAAAUCACCAUUUUAUUAUUAUUUUAAUCAUUUUUAGGUAAUUAUUUUGUAAUAAGUGGCCAAUGAGAGUGUGCCACAUAUUAGGUAAUUGGUAAUAUUAUAUAAAUAUUAUAUUAGGAAUCUUUUUCCGGAGAGUUUGACAUUGAAGGUGAAAGAAGACGAGAACUUUGGUUUGUUUUCUUUUUCUUCUUUAUUAAAUAUAUUGUUUUUAGUUUCUUUUUAUUCAAAUUAUUAAUUUUUACCCUAUUAUAGAUUGUAAAUGUGACAUCACCUCCAUGAGAGGCUAAAAAGCCAACUUGGGGCUUGAAGCAUGAAAACCUAAGGGCUAGGAAACCUAUAGGGGUAAUGGGUACAUUAUUAUAACAAUGAGAUUAAUUAUUAGUUGGGUAACAAUUUAUCAUUUUCUUUUAUCCUAUCCUUGUGAGUUAGUUUGGGGAAUGAUACGAUAGGUUACCCGAUACUAGUGAUUCAUGAUAAUUCUUGAUCAUUAGUUAUCCUCGUAUUCCCUAUCGUUAUUUGCCCCAAAACAAAGCUAUAAGGAGUAGGAAAGGUUAAAAAGUCAAAUCUUAAACUAGUAAUCAAUCUAAUUUAUUUGAUGGUUAUAGGAAUCUGUUUUUAAAAAUGAAAAAUUAGGUUUCAGAUGCAAUUUUGAGUUAUAGAACUCAAAUUGAUCAUGAGCGACCAAGGAUCCCAAAACCCUAAGAUCACUUUACUUAAGAAACCAUUGUUCUCUCUAUUUCUAUACCUUAAGUUAGAUUAUGGAAAGCCCUAAACUUGAAUCGAUUGAAUUAAAAAUCAAUUUAUGUUUUUUUUAAUAUUAAUUUAGUUCUUUUACUUAGUUUCACUUCAUUCACAUAUUAUUUUUCAUUUUAGGAUUUAAACAAAAGCAAUUCAUUUGUUAUAGUAUUAACAAUUUCCAUAAGUCUGUCCCUGAGGACGAUACCCGAAGUACUACAAAAGCCGUAGUGACUAUUUCUCUAGUUUUUCAUGUACUCCUCAAAGACAACCUCGCGAUAAUGAGCAACCCCAUCUCUCUCAACCACUUAAGGCAAUGGCCCGAUCUUCUCAUUUGGUUUAGGAAUGGUGAAUAUAGGGAUCGACACUCUAGAUUGAGUGCUUAUGGUACGCACCCUAUGUUCUGCGCUUUUGUACUUCCCAUUGCUUAAUAUCUGAAAAUUUGCAUACAUUCAUAUCAAAGAAAUGUCCAUUUGAGAAUGAUUUUAUGUACCUCUAUAACUAAAUUUUGUAAGUAUAUCAGUAUUAAUCUAACCUAUAAUGUAUCACCAACAUUGAUGACCAAUGCACCUGGUAUGGGUGGUAUCUCCACCCACUCUCCCUUCUUUCCACCACUCGUGAUGUCUUCCUCCAUUUUCACGUAUAAUCCAUCGAUACCAUCUUGUAGCAACAUCGUUAACGUGCCCAUAUCAGAGUGGCGUCCCACGCCAACGGUGAGAUCAGGGUUGGGGCAGGUGGGGUAGAAGUUCAUGUUCACCAUUUUUAAACCAAUGAGG
rnacentral:lncRNA from 1 species